ACUGGAUGUUGCAGAACUAGAUGUUGCACUGCUGGAGCGAUUCUCCCAGUGCAGCUGAGGAAUAGAUACAAGGCCCUCGCAUCACUGGAAGAGAGUGCAGCAAUGGAGGCUGUGUCCACAGGUACCACCAGGCAGACUGAGGGACACCCGGGCAUCCAGAAGAGAAGACAUUGGGUCAUCGUAGUGCGUGACUCCCUCCUGAGAGGAACAGAAGGAGCCAUCUGCCGCCUGGAUCCCACAGUACGGGAGGCUUGCUGCCUGCCCAGAGCUUGGAUUCAAGAUGUCACAGCGAGGAUUCCAGACCUACUCAGGCCCACCGACUACUAUCCCAUGGUCCUCAUCCAUGUGGGAAUGAAUUAUGAGGCCCAGGGUAGAGCGGGUCGGGUCAUGAGUGACUACAUGGUUCUGGGAGCCAGGUUUAGAGUUUUGGGGGCACAAGUAGUCUACUCAUCUAUCCUCCUAGUCAGCGGUCACAGCCAGAACCACAGCAGCUGCAUUGCCGAGGUCAACUCACAACUUCAAAGUUGGUACCAUCGUGCGGGGUUCGGCUUCCUAGACCAUAAUGUGUGGUUCUAGGAUAGGGCCUUGCUGGGGCGUGAUGGUCUACAUCUUUCUCCAAAAGGUGGUAACAACCUGUUGCUCGGUGAUCGGCUUUAUUCAGGAAUGCGCUGCAGGGGAUGAUUUUCUUGGUCAGAAGCAGAGGAGUGUGAAGAUUUGGAGGGCAUUGCUUUUGAAUUUGGGACUUUUGGAGUUGUUAUUUUACUUUCAUAUUUUAUUCUGGUUCUAUAAUUUUUUCUCUCUUCUUGUAAGCUACCCUAUGACAUUUUGGGCAGGGUGGCAUAUAAAUCUAAUAAGUAAAUCAGUGGUGUGUUACUAUGGUACAGGUGCAGUUAAUUUUGGUGAAUCUAGCCCCUACAGUUCUUAAAAUACCCUAGAUCAUCCUUCUGUGCAUGCUUGCAGUUAUUUAUCACAUUUCCCUAAAAUUAUAUGACGAAGUUCAUGUCUGGGUUAUCCUCUCAUGCCAAACCUAUCAUGGCAGACUCGGCACCUUCAAGCCAUAGGCUUACUCCUAUCUCUACUACCUAGAGGUGCUAAAGUUUCCCUACUUAAAGGCCUUAGUGCAUCCUAAAUUGUACUCUUUGAAUUUUUGCAGUGAUUUUCCAUUUUGAUUUUUUUU